CUGCAACCAAUUAAGCCAACCAGGUUCUUCUUCUGGUAGAUCCUGCAAAGGCUGCAGACAGCAGCCUCCUGGAUAGUGUACACAGCCUAUUCCUUGUAUAGGUUGCUCUAAGGGACCUAGGAGACAAAG
rnacentral:snoRNA from 1 species